CAUAGGUUAAUGAGGCGAACCGGGGGAACUGAAACAUCUAAGUACCCCGAGGAAAAGAAAUCAACCGAGAUUCCCCCAGUAGCGGCGAGCGAACGGGGAGGAGCCCAGAGCCUGAAUCAGUGUGUGUGUUAGUGGAAGCGUCUGGAAAGGCGCGCGAUACAGGGUGACAGCCCCGUACACAAAAAUGCACAUAUUGUGAGCUCGAUGAGUAGGGCGGGACACGUGGUAUCCUGUCUGAAUAUGGGGGGACCAUCCUCCAAGGCUAAAUACUCCUGACUGACCGAUAGUGAACCAGUACCGUGAGGGAAAGGCGAAAAGAACCCCGGCGAGGGGAGUGAAAAAGAACCUGAAACCGUGUACGUACAAGCAGUGGGAGCCUCUUAAUGGGGUGACUGCGUACCUUUUGUAUAAUGGGUCAGCGACUUAUAUUCUGUAGCAAGGUUAACCGAAUAGGGGAGCCGAAGGGAAACCGAGUCUUAACUGGGCGUUAAGUUGCAGGGUAUAGACCCGAAACCCGGUGAUCUAGCCAUGGGCAGGUUGAAGGUUGGGUAACACUAACUGGAGGACCGAACCGACUAAUGUUGAAAAAUUAGCGGAUGACUUGUGGCUGGGGGUGAAAGGCCAAUCAAACCGGGAGAUAGCUGGUUCUC
rnacentral:rRNA from 2 species